AGCUAAAUCCUCAGGGACUCAACUCUUUAAGAUGCUUGAGAAGUGUAGGAGUAAAGACCGUUCUUUGCAAAUGACCGUCACAUAAUCUGUGGUAGCGUGCAUAGAGGACUAGAACGAUCACGACUAGAUGGACUGAUGAUUCUGAAAUUAUAGUCUUCAGCUGGAUUUUAGAAUUUAGCAGAGAAAACGAAGGGAAAGAAUUUAG
rnacentral:lncRNA from 1 species